rnacentral:rRNA from 1 species
UACGGAGGGUGCAAGCGUUAUCCGGAUUCACUGGGCUUAAAGGGUGCGUAGGUGGGUUGGUAAGUCAGUGGUGAAAUCUCCGAGCUUAACUUGGAAACUGCCAUUGAUACUAUCAGUCUUGAAUACCGUGGAGGUCAGCGGAAUAUGUCAUGUAGCGGUGAAAUGCUUAGAUAUGACAUAGAACACCAAUUGCGAAGGCAGCUGACUACGCGAAUAUUGACACUGAUGCACGAAAGCGUGGGGAUCAAACAGG